ACGGAGGGUGCAAGCGUUAAUCGGAAUUACUGGGCGUAAAGGGUACGUAGGCGGUUUCUUAAGUCGGAUGUGAAAGCCCUGGGCUUAACCUGGGAAUUGCAUACGAUACUGGGAGACUUGAAUCUGGCAGAGGCUGGUGGAAUUUCCGGUGUAGCGGUGAAAUGCGUAGAUAUCGGAAGGAACAUUAGUGGCGAAGGCGACCAGCUGGGUCAAGAUUGACGCUGAGGUACGAAAGCGUGGGGAGCAAACAGG
rnacentral:rRNA from 1 species